UACGUAGGGUGCAAGCGUUAAUCGGAAUUACUGGGCGUAAAGCGCACGUAGGCGGCUAUUCAAGUCAGAGGUGAAAGCCCGGGGCUCAACCCCGGAACUGCCUUUGAAACUAGGUAGCUAGAAUCUUGGAGAGGUCAGUGGAAUUCCUGGUGUAGCGGUGGAAUGCGCAGAUAUCAGGAGGAACACCCGUGGCGAAGGCGGCUCUCUGGAACGCAACUGACGCUGAGACGCGAAAGCGUGGGGAGCAAACAGG
rnacentral:rRNA from 1 species